UACGGAGGGUGCAAGCGUUAAUCGGAAUUACUGGGCGUAAAGCGCACGCAGGUGGCUGAGUCAGUCGAUUGUGAAAGCCCUGGGCUUAACCUGGGAAUUGCAGUCGAUACUACUCAGCUAGAGUCCGGAAGAGGAGAAUGGAAUUCCUGGUGUAGCGGUGAAAUGCGCAGAUAUCAGGAAGAACACCAAUGGCGAAGGCAGCUCUCUGGGACGGUACUGACGCUGAGACGCGAAAGCGUGGGGAGCGAACAGG
rnacentral:rRNA from 1 species